GAAGAUAUGGGGGCACUAGGGGUCCGAGAAUAGGGGAUCGUAGAGGAGGGGGAGGAGAUUGAGGAGGCAGAAGUUGGAGAUUGGGUUCGGGUGAAGAAGAAAAUGGAAUCUACUCACAGUGAGAUUAGAAAUAAAGGUUCUCAGAUGCACUCGGAGUACCCAACAUUGUUUGUCGGAAGGUUCUUGGAGGGGUGGGUGGAGAUGCAAUUCGCCGAGGUUUUUAGAGUAGUAAGUUCAAGGAGGUCAUCCCUAAGAAGAGAGGUUUGUAUGCUGUAAGGGGCGUUGUGUUCAUCAAAAUGGAAUGUGAAGAAGAGAUGUAUCAGGCGAUACCGGUUUGAAUGGGAGGAAAUUUGGGGACAAGAAGAUCUUUGUUAAAAUGGGAAGGUAUCAACCCGAUAUCAUAAACGGGCUGCCAACAAAGAAGGAAGCGGCAAGAUCCUCGAAGGGUGAUUCUCAAGGCAAGAAUGAUGAAGGGUCACAGGCCAGUGGAGGAAGUGAGGAAAGCUAAAGGAGGCAAUUGCAGAUCAUACCAAUAGGUGGCGGCGUCUAAGUUUAAAGGAGAAGAGACAUAAGAGAAGAUCUAUUUAGAAGAGGAAGAAAAUGUAGGACAAGAGGGGAAAUGGGUUUGAAGAGAGAACUGUUUGAAGGUCCAGUGGUGUAUGUUCAUUCGUUGGUGAUCGAAAACUUAUGGAGAACUUUCCAGUGGAGCUAGGUGGCAAAAGUGAGACGUGAGACUUCUUUGGAGGAUGUGGGUAGUUAGCUUCACCAAUACUGUGGAUUGGAGGGAGAUUGAUUGGGUGUUGAAAUCACUCAAGAUGACAGAGGUGUGGGUUUUGUAGGGGAAGAUAUGAACAAGAGGGAGUGAGGAAAGCUAAUGGAGGCAAUUGCGGAUCAUACCAAUAGGUGGCAGGGUCAAAGUUUAAAGGAGAAGAGACAUAAGAGAAGAUCUAUUUAGAAGAGGAAGAAAAUGUAGGAUGAGGGGAAAUGGGUUUGAAGAGGAGAAUCGUCUGAAGGCCCAGUGGUGUAUGUUCAUUUGUUGGUGAUCGAAAACUUAUGGCAAACUUUCCAGUGGAGCUAGGUGGCAAAAGUGAGACGUGAGACUUCUUUGGAGGAUGUGGGUAGUUAGCUUCACUAAUACUGUGGAUUGGAGGGAGAUUGAUCGGGUGUUGAAAUCACUCAAGAUGACGGAGGUGUGGGUUUUGUUACGGCUGGAAAUUAAUGUCAAUCUUGCUAAUUCUUGGCGGGAUUUUUUUUAAAGGACAACUCGCUUUCUUGAUUCGACGUGGGAGUGGUUAAUUCUGCGAAGAAAGGAAGCUUGAGUCCAAUUGUGGCCUUUCGGGACCUUCCUCGAGAGCUAUGAUUUCAAGAAUUUUUGGUGGAAGUGGGCCCAUUCUUGGGGAGGUUACUAGCAUUGAUCCUGUGACUGAUAAAUUUGUCAAUUUGUACGUGGCAAGAAUGUGUUUAUAGGGGGAAGUUAUCACAAUUGUCGAAAAAUGUGGUCAUCAAUGUUGGAAAAGGGAGGAUUUCGGUGCAGGUGAUGUAAGAAAAGAGAAGGCUAGAAGGUUCUGGUGGGGUUGUUGUAGUGACAUUAGCAGAGGGAACAGGGUUUGCCGUAGGAGCGGAGAGCAAAGGUGUUUUCCCUUGGUGGGCAGGAGGAACACAAAAACAGGAUGUUGACUUGUGUGAGGUGGUUUGUGUGACAGAGAAAGUUGGGAAAAUAAAUAAUGAGAGUAGAUGCGUGGUCUAGUAUUUAAUGGAGAACUAAUGUGGGGUGACAGUCUGGGCUCGAGAGAAGACGUCGAGGCAUUAACAGGGGGCACGCGGCCUCUAGUACCAUCUCUUGGAAGGAGCAUUAAUGUCUAAGUGAUUAGUGGCUUUGCAGGUGGCGUGAAUAGAGAGAGAGGGAGAGGAGAGGCUUGACAUGUGUAGUGUAUGGAUGGGAGGUGUCAAAGAGGUAAUUCUUGCAAUGAAGUGUGGCAUGGUUGAUGUUGAUGGGGUUGCAUGCCUCUCACACGGGUGGGAAGGAGCAUGUGCGAAGUCGCUUGAGGGUGAUUUGCAUGUAUGGUAAGCUCAUUUUCCCACAUUUGCAACAUCCUUUUUCAUUUUCCAAAGGGAUUUUGAUCCCGUCGAACCCUUUGUUUCUCUCCUACUCGGCUCUCAAUGAAAAAGAGAGCUUUCCGAAUCCUAGCGAGAAGACCGUUUUUGUUUUCUUGACUUCUUCGUUUGAUGGGAUAUCGGAUGCUCACAUUGUGGUUCUCGUGCCGGCAUAAGCCGAUUGGUGUGAGGUUGGAUGGUCUCAGCCAAUCACAACAGAGGUAAGCAUGAAGGAGUUGUCUAGGUGCUUGUUCGACCCCUAGGAUGGACAAAACGAAAGGUUAUAGGAUGGUAGUAGCUUUUGACGAUCAGGAGGAGCAAUGGAAGGCACUGUUGUUGUUAGAAGACAUGAAUAUUCAACCUUUUAAGGUCGUUGAUGCAGGUAACAAAAAGGCAGUUAAAUGCAGUAGGGAAAAAACUCGUGAUUGUUCCUUUCACGAUUUGGGAGAGAGCAAUUUAGUUUCGAUGGCAAGGGGGAUGGGAUGGUUGAGGGAGGAUUUGGGGCAUGUUGGAAGACUUUUGGGGGUGGCUUUCAGAGAUAGCAAGGUUGAUUACAUAACUCUAUUCCGAGUUGUGGAGGAAAAGGGGAAUUUGAAACUUUAGGCAAUGAAUCAAGGGUAAGGGAGCAGACUCUCAAAGGGCAACUGAGAAUUGAAAGGCUUAGUUUCAAGAGUCAGUGAUGAGGGAGGAGAUUUAGCCAAGGGAGGAGCAAGGGCGAGAACAACGGGGAGAAGUGCCUAAUGAAGAUAUUAAUUUGGAAUUUUAAGGGUUUGGGAUGCCCUAAAAAAUGACUCCAGAUAAGGGAUGUUUGCAAGAAAUUCAAAGCUCAAAUAAUCACUAUCUGGGAAACCAAGAUGUAGUCCAUGAAUCAGGCGGUGGUGGAUGCAGUUUCAAAUGGGAAGUCUGAAAUUGCGGUAGGACUGCUAUUAUAGAAGUAUGGAUAUAUGUCCAAGUGUCCUAGAGGGGGGUGAAUAGGACUUUUCAAAAAUAUUUACUUAUAAUAACAUACAAUGCCUAACUUUAACCAAGAUAAGUAAGGCAAAAUAACUCUAUGGCUUCCAAGCCAAUAGAGGGUCCAAAAUACAUAGGCUACACAAGAUUUAUAUAUAAAACGACUAGCCUAUGAAGAUAGUGAAUGUGAGAGUGUGUGGAAUGUGAUUCCUAUCAAUGCUUAGACAUUCGUUUAAUCAUGCAUCAUAAAUAAACAUUCAAGGAACAUAAGCAUAAUUAGAUUAAUGCACAAAUAGCCAUUCCAAACACAAUUAUAUAUAGUGGUUCGGCCACUUGCUUGCUCCACUCCCGGCUAACGCACUCUCUCCUAUAGUGUACCGGAUUUCACUAUCCAAUGGUUUUAAAUCAAGUUAACCAUGAACCUUAACAAGUUACACAAGGUUAACUGAAGAGCCUAUACAAGGCAACCUUAGAUGCCUACACAAGGCGACAAGUCCUACACAAGGACACAACUUAGGAGCCUAUAUAAGGCAAACUAUGCCUACACAAGGCAACACGUUCUACACAAGGACAACGUAUUCUCCUGUCGGAGGUGUACAAAAGGUCUUGGCGAGUUUGUCACCCAAACUUUGAAUCCCAAUCCUACACAUGAAAAGGGCUUCAGACUCAACGGACUCGGUAUACUUACAAAUAAGUGAGUGAGCCCCUUUCUUGCACAAUCUAAAGAUGAUCUUCUUUGUUGAUGAAGAGUCUUUAGCUCCCUUGAACCGCAACCGCUUAUGAUGCUCCAAGCAAUGCUCCGAGGUUGUGAGGUUUAAGGUUUGAUCCUAUCUUCUAUAUUAAAUGAUAUGAAUUAAAUACCUAGAGAAGAUUCCCAUGAGUUAAGCAUUCAAGAGUUCCAGCACAAUGAUUUACCUUUAAAAAGUGCUACUGGAAACUCAAUGAAUGCCAGAGUUCAUAAUUCAAUCCAAGUCAAGAAGAUGACAAUAAAUGCCCGUGCUAUGGAUUGAAUGAUGAACUCUUAUGGGAAAGAAGGCUUGAGGAUGAGGGUAUAAUCAAUUACAAUAAGUCUCUCAAGAUUCCUUCAAUUCUUACUCAUUUUGCUAAGAAGAAACCCACAGGUAUAUAUAAAGAAGAAUCCCAAUGGUAAAAAAAAAAGGACAGAAAUCUGACAUUGUUGAUGCUACUGUAUAGUCUUCGAUUCCAUUGAAAUUUGAACUUCAAUGUUAUCAAGCCUUAUUCGAUUGUAUCGACUACCUACACUAAGAUAUUCAUUUAUGUGUAAAAUAGAUUCUGAUCGAUCUUAUCGAGCAUCCUUCGAUUCCAAUGAUGUGCACUUCGAUGUUAUCGAAAGGAGGUUCGAUUCCAUCGAAUUUUCUUUAGAAAAAUUACCUUUGGUUGCUGGAAGAUUUUGUCCCAAUUUUCGAUACAAUCGAUCAUACUUUGAUGCUAUCGAAUUUUGAAAUUCGAUGACAUCAAAGGGUCUUCGCUGUAAUCGAAAAUGAUGGAUAUUCCUUGACAGCUUGUUGGACAAACUGGUCCUGAAUUUCGAUGUAAUCGAAUAGUCUUCAAUGCCAUCGAUAACUUACUCUCGAUGUGAUCGAAGAUGAUUUGAUUCCACCGAGGAACACUUAGAGAGAAUUUUCUUUGAAGAGGGAGUACCCUAAGUCGAUUCAAUCAAGUGGGUUUGAUGCUAUCGAAAUUUGAAUUUCGAUGUCAUCGAACUCUAUUCGAUAUAAUCGACAAUACCCAGCAGAUGAUCAUUUUGUUGCUGGACAGUAUGGGCCUAUUUUUCGAUGCAAUUGAACCAUGUUUGAUAGCAUCGAAAAUGUCCUCGAUUGCAUAUCGAUGCAAUCGUGAUUUUUCCUGUUUAGUCCAUGAUUUUCCCCCUAGUAUUCUAAGUGAUUAAAACUAAGCUUACCAAGGAGGAUUUAAGAAUUGUUGUGGGUAAGACUAAGUUAAAUGGGGUCAUAUAGCUCAAGGGUUUGGUUAGGGAAGUGAGGCUUUGUUUACGUCUGUGGAGCGCUCAAACUUCUUCUUGGUUGAGAUAUUGAUCUUGUGAACUUUUAGCUUGGGGCUUACUUAUAAGACUGACUCAACACUCACAUAAUUUGACAAACUGGCACUUUUAAAGUCUAAUGAGAGUGUUGCUCUGGAUGCAGUUAGGACAGCAGAUGGUGUUAUAGUAAUUUGGGGUUCUAGUUUGAGGGGUUGUGAGGACCGUUGGCUUGGACCUUACUCAGUUUCAGUUUUGCUGAAGGAAAAGGCAGGGGUUGUAAUUGGGUAGUCUCAGUGAUUUACAGCCCAAACAUUCCAGGACAGUGGGCUCACGUUUGGGUGGAGUUGGAUUUCAUUCACAAAAGGUGGAAGGAAUGUUGGUGCUUGGGCGGGGAUUUCAAUAUAACUAGAUUGUCCUUCGAGAAGUUGGGGGAAUGAUGCCAAAUUAAUAGAAGUACAAGGGUUUUUUCCGACUAGAUGCAUAGGAAUGAGCUUGAUGAUCUUUCCAAUGGGGAAUGUUAAAUUUACAUGAUCAAGUGGUCAAGAUAGGGUGGUAAACUCCAAGUUGGAUAGAUUUCUAAUGUCAUUGGAGUGUGUUGAUAAGCUUCCUCGUCUCUUAAAGAGGUAUCUCUAAGCCUACUUUAGACCACUGCCCCAUAAUGCUUGAAGUUGAGGAAGAUUGGGGUCCACCCCUUUCAGAUCGAGCUUUCAUGGCAUGAGGUGGAAGGAUUCAAUGAUAUCGUGAAGGAAUGGCGGUCGUCUUUUAAGGUGAAGGGUCAUGCGGGUUUUUCAUUGUUUCAAAAACUCAAGAUGAAAAGGAAAAAUCAUCAAUUGGAAAAGGGAGGUAUUUGGCAACUGGGAGGCGGAGAUGCAAAAAAUCCAUGCAAGAGUUGGAUAUCAAAGAAGAAGCUAUGGAGCUUUACGGAAGAGGAAAAAUCAGUAAGGCAUAAUUUGGUGCAGGAUUAUAAAAAGAGGCUUAAAGAAGAAAUUAGUUGGAUGCAAAGGUCGAGGGUAACAUGGCUUAAAGGAGGGUGAUAAGAAUACUAAGUUCUUUCACGCUCUGGCAAGUGCAAGGGCAAGAAAAAAAUAGAAUCCAUAGUGUGGUGGUAGAUGGGAAAGAAUAGAGGAAAAGACCCUGGUGUGUGACGUAAUUGUAUCUUUUUAUGAGCAAUUACUAUCCAAGGAGGACUGGAAGUGGCUGAAGCUUGACGGUUUUCUCCCUUUAAUAUAUUGAGGGGAGAGGUGACAACUGGUUUGGAAAUUCCGGCCUCUGAAGAAGAGGUUAAAAGUGGCAAUUGAUGACUUGGAAAGAGAAGGCUCUGUGGCCGGAUGGUGUCUUGAUGACAUUUUUCCAGGUGUUUUGGGCAACAUUAAAAGAAGACGUGAUGGCCUCCAUAAUGGAAUUUUUGCAGAGCGGUUACUUAGGGGCAGAGAUGCGGGCUUUGUUUUUGCUCUUAUUUCCAAAAGAGGAGCAUAAAACUUGUUAGAAUUCUAGCUAAUUAGCUUGGUGGGAGUUCUCUACAAGAUCCUUGCUAAGAUGUUGUCCACAAGGUUCCAAUUGGUGCUUUCCCAUAUUAUUUCGAGUGCUCAAAGUGUGUUUGUUGCUGGUAGGAAGUUAUUGGAUAGCGCAUUGAUUGCUCAUGAGCGUUUAGAUGCUUGCCAUAGGAAGGACAAGAAAGGCUUCAUUUGCAAGUUCGAUAUUGAAAAAGCUUAUGGUCAUGUGCAUAGGUACUUUUUGGAUUACGCAAGUUGGGAUGUGGAGAGCAUUGGAGAGGUUGGGUCCAAGCUUGCCUACAAUUGGCUAAAUUGUUGGUGCUAGUGAAUGGAUUGCCGAAAGUUUUUUUUUUUCUCCCAAGUCUCAAGAGGAUGAAGAUAGAGAUCCGCUAUCUUGGUUACUAUUUGUUGUGAUGAUAGAGGCUUUAAGCAAAAAGUUGGGUACGACAUAGCAGUGGGUCUCAUAGAUGGCUUCUCCGUGGAUAACGGGGGUCUCCAAAUCUCCCAUU